UAGACCACCACCAGGUUUUGCUGAUUCAUGUUAUCACUGUGUUGUAGUAAUGGGGGUUUCUCAGGCCUGGUUGCUAUGGGAGAUUGAGGCUGGUUUCUGCAUUAAAAGUAUUAGCUGAAGUAUUUGAAUUGCAAGGUUUAAUGGACACAGGCUUUACAUUGUUGGCUGAAUGCUUGAUACAUAUGCAUAUUUAAAUACCUGAUUUUAAAUACAGAAUUCUGCUUGUAUAAUAGGAUUGUAGGGGUUAAACAAAAAUUAGAAAUAUGGCGCACUUUUGAAGGACAGACAGGUCAGGCCUUCAACUUUCAGGUUGUUCAAGCCUAUUAGGACAGGAUGGUGUGCAUCGUGAUCUAUUGCGCAAUAGAUUCUAGUACAUAAAUAAAAGCUGAAAAAUGGGCAAUGACUGAGUAACGGUGAAAUAAAUGCCACUUUGAAUACCAUACAUGCUUAGACUGUAUUCUGUAACACCACCAUAUAUUGUAUGAAAAUAAUGCAAUAGUGAAAAAUAAUCCUUUUUUUUUUUCUAUGUUUUAUUUGAUGGUCAGAUGUUUCUUAAAGAACACAGUUUGUGUUUAAAACACAAGAACAGAUAAAAGUUUAUGCUAUAAUUCAAAGCUGGGAGCGGUGAUGUGGCACCCUGGUGGUCAGAAGUGUGAAGAAGCGUGGACUUUCCUGCAGCUAGUCACGUUUCUCCUGGCUGUUGUCAUGCGCACCAGUGGGGGUUAAAUAACCACUGCAGGUUUCUGCCGUGUUCGGGGGAGGGAGUCCUCCAUUCUGCUGAAAUUCUAUACACCAUGCUGGAGUAUGUUGGAGGAGGGGUAACCGUUGCUCUCCCCUCAAGCUGUGUAUAGCACACUAUACAGCACACAGUGGAAAAACAAUCCUGCUCACACGCCAUCACAACUCAUUGACAUCCGCAUCAUGGUUUCAAGGACAAUGCAGCACAGGCCUUCCUCAGUUAUGCCCCUAUGUGUCACUACCGACGUUCUCAAACCUGUCUGCCUCAACGUCAGUGUCACAUUGCCUAUGACGUAUCAUCUAGAGAAAGAGGGAGCCGCUAUCCACCUCCCGGUCAAACCGUGUCCGGAUAUCCUCAAUGUUGUCGUUAUCCCCAAAACCACCCCACUCAGUGUUCACACACAUGUGCCCCUCAUCCCCUUCCACUGUUUCAAUGUUCU